rnacentral:rRNA from 1 species
GGGUUGUGAGGUUAAGCGACUAAGCGUACACGGUGGAUGCCCUGGCAGUCAGAGGCGAUGAAGGGCGUGCUAAUCUGCGAUAAGCGCCGGUAAGGUGAUAUGAACCGUUAUAACCGGCGAUACCCGAAUGGGGAAACCCAGUGUGAUUCGUCACACUAUCAUUAACUGAAUCCAUAGGUUAAUGAGGCGAACCGGGGGAACUGAAACAUCUAAGUACCCCGAGGAAAAGAAAUCAACCGAGAUUCCCCCAGUAGCGGCGAGCGAACGGGGAGGAGCCCAGAGCCUGAAUCAGCAUGUGUGUUAGUGGAAGCGUCUGGAAAGGCGCGCGAUACAGGGUGACAGCCCCGUACACAAAAGCGCAUGUGCUGUGAGCUCGAUGAGUAGGGCGGGACACGUGGUAUCCUGUCUGAAUAUGGGGGGACCAUCCUCCAAGGCUAAAUACUCCUGACUGACCGAUAGUGAACCAGUACCGUGAGGGAAAGGCGAAAAGAACCCCGGCGAGGGGAGUGAAAAAGAACCUGAAACCGUGUACGUACAAGCAGUGGGAGCACAGGUUUACCUGUGUGACUGCGUACCUUUUGUAUAAUGGGUCAGCGACUUAUAUUCUGUAGCAAGGUUAACCGUAUAGGGGAGCCGUAGGGAAACCGAGUCUUAACCGGGCGUUAAGUUGCAGGGUAUAGACCCGAAACCCGGUGAUCUAGCCAUGGGCAGGUUGAAGGUUGGGUAACACUAACUGGAGGACCGAACCGACUAAUGUUGAAAAAUUAGCGGAUGACCUGUGGCUGGGGGUGAAAGGCCAAUCAAACCGGGAGAUAGCUGGUUCUCCCCGAAAGCUAUUUAGGUAGCGCCUCGUGAAUUCAUCUCCGGGGGUAGAGCACUGUUUCGGCUAGGGGGCCAUCCCGGCUUACCAACCCGAUGCAAACUGCGAAUACCGGAGAAUGUUAUCACGGGAGACACACGGCGGGUGCUAACGUCCGUCGUGAAGAGGGAAACAACCCAGACCGCCAGCUAAGGUCCCAAAGUCAUGGUUAAGUGGGAAACGAUGUGGGAAGGCCCAGACAGCCAGGAUGUUGGCUUAGAAGCAGCCAUCAUUUAAAGAAAGCGUAAUAGCUCACUGGUCGAGUCGGCCUGCGCGGAAGAUGUAACGGGGCUAAACCAUGCACCGAAGCUGCGGCAGCGACGUUUAUGUGUUGUUGGGUAGGGGAGCGUUCUGUAAGCCUGCGAAGGUGGCCUGUGAGGGUUGCUGGAGGUAUCAGAAGUGCGAAUGCUGACAUAAGUAACGAUAAAGCGGGUGAAAAGCCCGCUCGCCGGAAGACCAAGGGUUCCUGUCCAACGUUAAUCGGGGCAGGGUGAGUCGACCCCUAAGGCGAGGCCGAAAGGCGUAGUCGAUGGGAAACGGGUUAAUAUUCCCGUACUUGGUGUUACUGCGAAGGGGGGACGGAGAAGGCUAUGUUGGCCGGGCGACGGUUGUCCCGGUUUAAGCGUGUAGGCUGGUUUUCCAGGCAAAUCCGGAAAAUCAAGGCUGAGGCGUGACGACGAGGCACUACGGUGCUGAAGCAACAAAUGCCCUGCUUCCAGGAAAAGCCUCUAAGCAUCAGGUAACAUCAAAUCGUACCCCAAACCGACACAGGUGGUCAGGUAGAGAAUACCAAGGCGCUUGAGAGAACUCGGGUGAAGGAACUAGGCAAAAUGGUGCCGUAACUUCGGGAGAAGGCACGCUGACACGUAGGUGAAGUGAUUUACUCAUGGAGCUGAAGUCAGUCGAAGAUACCAGCUGGCUGCAACUGUUUAUUAAAAACACAGCACUGUGCAAACACGAAAGUGGACGUAUACGGUGUGACGCCUGCCCGGUGCCGGAAGGUUAAUUGAUGGGGUCAGCGCAAGCGAAGCUCCUGAUCGAAGCCCCGGUAAACGGCGGCCGUAACUAUAACGGUCCUAAGGUAGCGAAAUUCCUUGUCGGGUAAGUUCCGACCUGCACGAAUGGCGUAAUGAUGGCCAGGCUGUCUCCACCCGAGACUCAGUGAAAUUGAACUCGCUGUGAAGAUGCAGUGUACCCGCGGCAAGACGGAAAGACCCCGUGAACCUUUACUAUAGCUUGACACUGAACAUUGAGCCUUGAUGUGUAGGAUAGGUGGGAGGCUUUGAAGCGUGGACGCCAGUCUGCGUGGAGCCGACCUUGAAAUACCACCCUUUAAUGUUUGAUGUUCUAACGUGGACCCGUAAUCCGGGUUGCGGACAGUGUCUGGUGGGUAGUUUGACUGGGGCGGUCUCCUCCUAAAGAGUAACGGAGGAGCACGAAGGUUGGCUAAUCCUGGUCGGACAUCAGGAGGUUAGUGCAAUGGCAUAAGCCAGCUUGACUGCGAGCGUGACGGCGCGAGCAGGUGCGAAAGCAGGUCAUAGUGAUCCGGUGGUUCUGAAUGGAAGGGCCAUCGCUCAACGGAUAAAAGGUACUCCGGGGAUAACAGGCUGAUACCGCCCAAGAGUUCAUAUCGACGGCGGUGUUUGGCACCUCGAUGUCGGCUCAUCACAUCCUGGGGCUGAAGUAGGUCCCAAGGGUAUGGCUGUUCGCCAUUUAAAGUGGUACGCGAGCUGGGUUUAGAACGUCGUGAGACAGUUCGGUCCCUAUCUGCCGUGGGCGCUGGAGAACUGAGGGGGGCUGCUCCUAGUACGAGAGGACCGGAGUGGACGCAUCACUGGUGUUCGGGUUGUCAUGCCAAUGGCACUGCCCGGUAGCUAAAUGCGGAAGAGAUAAGUGCUGAAAGCAUCUAAGCACGAAACUUGCCCCGAGAUGAGUUCUCCCUGAGACUU